rnacentral:rRNA from 1 species
AACCUUAUCAUUUAGAGGAAGGUGAAGUCGUAACAAGGUUUCCGUAGGUGAACCUGCGGAAGGAUCAUUACCACACAAUAAUCCAAACCGCGCUUACAUUAAACCCAUAGGCUCUGGCCCUGCUAACUAGUGGUAAACCCCUCUGUAACCCAUCGAGUCUCUCUGGUGUUUACGACCUUAUAAGAUCUCAUUAUGUGCCACUGCCGUGAUGAUGCAACCUGGAGGCCAACGAGUACGAUCCACCAAUUUAAAUUCAAUCGACAGCUUGACGAGAGUCAAGUUUAAAAGUAUAACAUUCCAAUACAACUUUCAGCAAUGGAUGUCUUGGUUCCCAACACAAUGAAGAACACAGCGAAAUGUGAUACGUAAUACGAAUUGCAAGACUUUGUGAAUCAUUGAAUUUUUGAACGCAUAUUGCGCUGCCAGAUUCUUUCUGGGAGCAUACACGACAGAGUAUCAUCAAACCCCAAUCUAUAACAUUAUUUGUUAUGGGCAAGUGAAGUUGGCUUUAAACAAAGCACUCCUUCUAAGUUAUUUAGUGCAGAGGCAUUUUCACAUUGUAGGAAACUCAGUGUAUUUGUUUCAACGUGCUAUUGGUCAAAAUUCACUUUUUGACUGUCUUCUUAACUGAUCUCUGGCUGUGUAGGACUACCCGCUGAAUUU